CCCGCGACAAGCGGAGGAGCAUGUGGUUUAAUUCGAUGAUACGCGAGGAACCUUACCCGGGCUCGAACGUAAGAUGACUGUAGGUGAAAGCUUACAUCUCUUCGGAGCAUUUUACGAGGUGCUGCAUGGUUGUCGUCAGCUCGUGCCGUGAGGUGUCGGGUUAAGUCCCAUAACGAGCGCAACCCCUACCUUUAGUUGCCAUCAGGUUAAGCUGGGGACUCUAAAGGAACUGCCUACGCAAGUAGUGAGGAAGCGGGGAUGACGUCAAAUCAGCACGGCCCUUACGUCCAGGGCUACACACGUGCUACAAUGGCCGAUACAGAGGGCAGCUACCUGGUGACAGGAUGCAAAUCUCCAAAGUCGGUCUCAGUUCGGAUCGGAGUCUGCAACCCGACUCCGUGAAGUUGGAUUCGCUAGUAAUCGCGCAUCAGCCAUGGCGCGGUGAAUACGUUCCCGGGCCUU
rnacentral:rRNA from 1 species